CAACCCUCAAGCCCCCCGGCUUGGUAUUGGGCAUCGCCGGUCACGGCGUGCCUUAAAAUCAGUGGCGGUGCCAUCUGGCUCUAAGCGUAGUAACACUCUCGCUCUGGGUGCCCGGUGGUCGCUGGCCAGCAACCCCAUCUUUUUAA
rnacentral:misc_RNA from 1 species